rnacentral:rRNA from 1 species
AUUGCCCUAGUAACGGCGAGUGAAGCGGCAACAGCUCAAAUUUGAAAGCUGGCCUUCGGGUCCGCAUUGUAAUUUGUAGAGGAUGCUUUUGGUGCGGUACCUUCCGAGUUCCUUGGAACAGGACGCCUUAGAGGGUGAGAGCCCCGUACGGUUGGAUGCCUAGCCUCUGUAAAGCUCCUUCGACGAGUCGAGUAGUUUGGGAAUGCUGCUCUAAAUGGGAGGUAAAUUUCUUCUAAAGCUAAAUAUUGGCCAGAGACCGAUAGCGCACAAGUAGAGUGAUCGAAAGAUGAAAAGCACUUUGAAAAGAGGGUUAAAUAGCACGUGAAAUUGUUGAAAGGGAAGGAUUUAUGACCAGACUUUUGUCUGGCGGAUCAUCCAGUGUUCUCACUGGUGCACUUCGCCAGGCCGAGGCCAGCAUCGGUUUCGGAAGGGGGAUAAAGGCUUCGGGAAUGUGACCCUCUCGGGGGUGUUAUAGCCCGUUGCGAAAUACCCUUUCUGGGACCGAGGUCCGCGCUCUGCAAGGAUGCUGGCAUAAUGGUCAUCAAUCACCCGUCUUGAAACACGGACCAAGGAGUCGAACAUUUGUGCGAGUGUUUGGGUGUCAAACCCUCACGCGUAAUGAAAGUGAACGGAGGUGAGAGCCUUAGGGUGCAUCAUCGACCGAUCCUGAUGUCUUCGGAUGGAUUUGAGUAGGAGCAUAACUGUU